UACAGAGACUGCAAGCGUUAUUCGGAUUCACUGGGCGUAAAGGGUGCGCAGGCGGCCGUGUGUGUGAGGCGUGAAAGCCUGGAGCUUAACUCCAGAAUUGCACCUCAAACUACACGGCUAGAGCAUUGGAGAGGGUAGCGGAAUUCACGGUGUAGCAGUGAAAUGCGUAGAUAUCUGGAGGAACACCGGUGGCGAAGGCGCCCACCUGGCCUGCUACUGACGCUGAAGCUCGAAAGCUAGGGGAGCAAACGGG
rnacentral:rRNA from 1 species